GGAUGACCCAAGUCUUAAUGAUAAAACACCCCGAAGCAUGGAUGGUGGUGCUAGGGUUGAAACAGGAAUUUUCCACAAUUGUGGAAGACAAAAUCCGUGUCUGCCUUGUCUUGCUUGUGUUGCCUCUUCGGAUGAAAAGAAAAAGUCUCUAAACCCGAUCUCACCACGCAGCCGGAAAAAAUCAUCCCUAACCCAGAUGUUAUCUUUUAAAUGGAGAGAAACAAAUUCAAGUUCUGCAUUAUUGUCACCAAAGACUGUUCUGCAAAGACCAAUAGCUGGUUCUCAAAUUCCUUGUAGCCCGUUGGGACGGAAAAUGGCUAACUGCUGGUCAUCCGUUGAGCCAAAUACUUUCAAGAUCCGUGGUAAAAAUUUCUUCAGGGAUAAGAAGAAAGACUUUGCUUUAAAUUGUGCUGCAUUUUAUCCUUUUGGUGCUGAUUUAUUCUUAUCACCACGGAAAAUUGAUCAUAUUGCACGUUUUGUGGAACUUCCAGCCAUCGAUUCAUCCAGUGAAGUUCCAUCCAUUCUUGUUGUAAAUCUUCAGAUACCAUUGUACCCUCCUGCAAUCUUCCAAAAUGAAUAUGAUGGAGAAGGGAUGAAUUUUGUUCUCUACUUCAAACUUUCAGAAAAUUACUCCACGGAAAUGCCAG
rnacentral:misc_RNA from 1 species